AUGGCAUUUGAGCUGAUGCCAAAAAAUAAUUGGUAUAGCAUUUUUGGGGGCACACCCAAAUGUGUCAAACCUAAAACAAAAGUAUAAAAAACUUACAUUAAAGCAGCAUUCAGAUUAACAAAGUACAGAUGUGCCAGCAGGAAUAGUGGAGGACUGUAUACAGAAAUUCAUUGAAAUUGAUCAGGCGUGGAAAAUUCUAGGGAAUGAAGAGAAAAAAAGAGUAUGAUCCUCAGUGGCAUGAAGAUGAUCUAAGAAAUAUGGAACCAGUAGAUGCUCAACUAUACCUUGAAAAAGUGCCUUGGAAAAAAGAUGAUGACUCUUUUUCCCCAAGUAGCCAAUGUGGUAGAAAACACAGUGUUUCCAAGGAUGAAGCAGAGGAAGUUAACCUAUUUUCUUGUGAUACAUGUUCACUAAUUACAGAACUUCUUCAUUAUUGGUAA
rnacentral:lncRNA from 1 species